rnacentral:rRNA from 1 species
ACCAGACUCCUACGGGAGGCAGCAGUGGGGGAUAUUGCACAAUGGGGGGAACCCUGAUGCAGCGACGCCGCGUGGGUGAAGAAGCGCCUCGGCGCGUAAAGCCCUGUCAGCAGGGAAGAAAAUGACGGUACCUGAAGAAGAAGCCCCGGCUAACUACGUGCCAGCAGCCGCGGUAAUACGUAGGGGGCAAGCGUUAUCCGGAUUUACUGGGUGUAAAGGGGGCGCAGACGGCGAUGCAAGCCAGGAGUGAAAGCCCGGGGCCCAACCCCGGGACUGCUCUUGGAACUGCGUGGCUGGAGUGCAGGAGGGGCAGGCGGAAUUCCUGGUGUAGCGGUGAAAUGCGUAGAUAUCAGGAGGAACACCGGUGGCGAAGGCGGCCUGCUGGACUGCAACUGACGUUGAGGCCCGAAAGCGUGGGGAGCAAACAGGAUUAGAUACCCGAGAAA